rnacentral:rRNA from 1 species
UAACGGCCCACCAAAGCGACGAUCAGUAGCCGGCCUGAGAGGGUGGACGGCCACAUUGGGACUGAGACACGGCCCAAACUCCUACGGGAGGCAGCAGUGGGGAAUAUUGGGCAAUGGGCGCAAGCCUGACCCAGCAACGCCGCGUGAAGGAAGAAGGCCCUCGGGUUGUAAAGAUCUUUAAUCAGGGACGAAAAUGACGGUACCUGAAGAAUAAGCUCCGGCUAACUAC